rnacentral:rRNA from 1 species
GGUUGUCGUCAGCUCGUGUCGUGAGAUGUUGGUUAAGUCCCGCAACGAGCGCAACCCUUGUCUUUAGUUACCAUCAUUCAGUUGGGGACUCUAGAGAGACUGCCGGUGAUAAACCGGAGGAAGGUGGGGAUGACGUCAAAUCAUCAUGCCCCUUAUGGCCUGGGCUACAAACGUAAUACAAUGGCGUAUACAAAGGGAUGCGAAAGGGCGACCUGGAGCAAAACUCAUAAAGUACGUCUCAGUUCAGAUUGGAGUCUGCAACUCGACUCCAUGAAGGCGGAAUCGCUAGUAAUCGCGGAUCAGCAUGCCGCGGUGAAUACGUUCUCGGGGUUU